UACGAAGGGGGCUAGCGUUGCUCGGAAUCACUGGGCGUAAAGGGUGCGUAGGCGGGUCUUUAAGUCAGGGGUGAAAUCCUGGAGCUCAACUCCAGAACUGCCUUUGAUACUGAGGAUCUUGAGUUCGGGAGAGGUGAGUGGAACUGCGAGUGUAGAGGUGAAAUUCGUAGAUAUUCGCAAGAACACCAGUGGCGAAGGCGGCAUUCUGGCCGGAACUGACGCUGAGGAGCGAAAGCGUGGGGAGCGAACAGG
rnacentral:rRNA from 1 species